CAACCAUCAGCAAGUGUUUUAGGACAAGCCCUAUCAGAUUCAUGAGAAGAUAAAUUCUCUAGCACAAAGCAUACAAUUUGAUUCCAAGCUUCAGAUAGGUGUAUUGGAAAACAGAUUGUAGUCUUUAUGUGUUGGUAGAAUUCAGUCUCAUUUUCACCACCUAUAGUAGACAUUAUAAACAUCUGCCUUCAAUUCACCAUCACAAAUUCUCCUACGCCAAUGUCUCAAUCAGGAUUAUACAAUAAAAAUAUGAAUCAACCAGAGUUUGAAGUGAACUUCAAAUUUUAGGCUAAAACAUAGGGGAUUUGAAGAUUUUUUUUCUACUUCAUCUGCUGAUGUCUAAAAUGCGAAAUCUACAUAAAAAUUAACUUUUAAUACAUCACGAUUUUCACUUUAGCCAAUACAUUGUAUGAGACCGGAAAUAAAGUAAGGGGGGAAGGCUAUAAUCUAGACUAGUCAUGCACAAC